rnacentral:rRNA from 1 species
CGAGGGCCCCGAGCGUUAUCCGGAUUUAUUGGGCGUAAAGAGUGCGCAGGAGGUUCUGUGCGUCUUGUGUUAAAUGUCACCGCUUAACGGUGUCACCGCAUGAGAUACGGCAGAACUAGAGCAUGUUAGAGGUUACUAGAACUCACGGUGUAGGGGUGAAAUCCGUUGAUAUCGUGGGGAAUACCAAAGGCGAAGGCAUGUAACUGGAACAUUGCUGACUCUCAUUGCACGAAAGCGUGGGGAGCAAAAAGGAUUAGAUACCCUUGUAGUCCACGCCCUAAACGAUGCCGACUAGCUGUUUCGAGUAUCGACCCUCGGAGUGGCGCAGCUAACGCGUUAAGUCGGCCGCCUGGGAAGUACGAUCGCAAGAUUA